GGGAAUAUGGCUUAGUGGUAGAGCGCUUGCCUAGCAUACAUGAAGCCCUGGGUUCUACUCCUUGUACCA
rnacentral:tRNA from 1 species